rnacentral:rRNA from 1 species
UGGGGAAUUUUGGACAAUGGGCGAAAGCCUGAUCCAGCAAUGCCGCGUGUGUGAAGAAGGCCUUCGGGUUGUAAAGCACUUUUGUCCGGAAAGAAAUCCUUGGCUCUAAUACAGUCGGGGGAUGACGGUACCGGAAGAAUAAGCACCGGCUAACUACGUGCCAGCAGCCGCGGUAAUACGUAGGGUGCAAGCGUUAAUCGGAAUUACUGGGCGUAAAGCGUGCGCAGGCGGUUUGCUAAGACCGAUGUGAAAUCCCCGGGCUCAACCUGGGAACUGCAUUGGUGACUGGCAGGCUAGAGUAUGGCAGAGGGGGGUAGAAUUCCACGUGUAGCAGUGAAAUGCGUAGAGAUGUGGAGGAAUACCGAUGGCGAAGGCAGCCCCCUGGGCCAAAUACUGACGCUCAUGCACGAAAGCGUGGGGAGCAAACAGGAUUAGAUACCCUGGUAGUCCACGCCCUAAACGAUGUCAACUAGUUGUUGGGGAUUCAUUCCCUUAGUAACGUAGCUAACGCGUGAAGUUGACCGCCUGGGGAGUACGGUCGCAAGAUUAAAACUCAAAUGAAUUGACGGGGUCAUAGCUGUUUCCU